rnacentral:rRNA from 1 species
AAUCAACGCUGGCGGCAUGCCUAACACAUGCAAGUCGAGCGAGAGAGUGUAGCAAUACAUGAGUAAAGCGGCGCACGGGUGAGUAACACGUGGAUAACCUGCCUCGAAGUGGGGAAUAACACCGGGAAACCGGUGCUAAUACCGCAUAAGCCAACAAGAUCUGCGGAUUUUGUCGGAAAAGGAGCAAUUCGCUUUGAGAGGGGUCCGCGGCUGAUUAGCUAGUUGGUGAGGUAAUGGCUCACCAAGGCAACGAUCAGUAGCCGGUCUGAGAGGACGGUCGGCCACACUGGAACUGAGACACGGUCCAGACUCCUACGGGAGGCAGCAGUGGGGAAUUUUUCGCAAUGGGGGCAACCCUGACGAAGCAAUGCCGCGUGGGUGAUGAAGCAUCUCGGUGCGUAAAACCCUUUCGACGGGGACGAAAGCCGCAAGGUUUGACGGUACCCGUAGAAGAAGCCCCGGCUAACUCCGUGC